rnacentral:RNase_P_RNA from 1 species
AAGUUAGCUUAUCGCUAUCUCUCUAGAGGAGAUAGAGGAAAGUCCGGACACCACAGAGCAAUAUAGCGGGUAACGCCCGUCCGCCGUGAGGCGAGGACUAGUGCAACAGAAAGCAAGUACAGUACGGCUGUAGUGAAAUCAGGUAAACUCUAUAUGGUGCAACGCCAAAUAAACCGACAAUCAAGAGUGGCUCGCUCAAUGCCGGAGGGUAGGCGGUUAGAGCUAAUAAGUAAUUAUUAGCCCAGAUAAAUGAUAAGCACUUUCCCCUUAUAGGAAAGCACAGAAUCCGGCUUAUAACUUGCU